GGAUACGGCCAUACUGCAGGAAGCAUCGCUUCCCAUCCGAACAGCGAAGUUAAGCUACGCCAGGCGGUGUUAGUACUGGGGUCCACCACCGCCCCAGGGCGCCCUGGGGCGUCCACC
rnacentral:rRNA from 1 species